CUCUUUUCUCCCUCUCUCUCUCUCUCUCUCCUUUAUUAUUUAUUAUUUUUCUUCUUUUUUUUCUUUACCAGAGUCUAAACCACUAAAUUGCCCAGGCUGGGCUCAAAUGUGCGAUCCUCCUGGCUCAGCUUCUCAGAAUGCUGGGAUUACAAGUGUGCUGGAGUUCCUUUACGCAUUCCCGAGACUUUUCAGUAGGAGUGGGUGUGAUAUAACGCAGCAAAUAAGGAAAACAGGCUGCUGCUGUUUCUUGAUGGAGGCAGUUUCUGGAACAAUGGAGUCAUUAUUCUCAUUUUGAUGGAUCAGGAUGAUGACAAAGAAUGAAGCCAUGGACAAGAGGUAGGAUGCAAGAAAACUUAUUUUAAAAGUCUAAAAGAAAGAAAGUAAAAAAUAUGAAGGUAAGAAAGCACCUUCCUCCU
rnacentral:lncRNA from 1 species